rnacentral:rRNA from 1 species
AAAGAAACCAACAGGGAUUGCCCCAGUAACGGCGAGUGAAGCGGCAACAGCUCAAAUUUGAAAUCUGGCUUCGGCCCGAGUUGUAAUUUGCAGAGGAAGCUUUAGGCGCGGCACCAUCUGAGUCCCCUGGAACGGGGCGCCACAGAGGGUGAGAGCCCCGUAUAGAUGGACGCCUAGCCUGUGUAAAGCUCCUUCGACGAGUCGAGUAGUUUGGGAAUGCUGCUCUAAAUGGGAGGUAAAUUUCUUCUAAAGCUAAAUACCGGCCAGAGACCGAUAGCGCACAAGUAGAGUGAUCGAAAGAUGAAAAGCACUUUGAAAAGAGGGUUAAAUAGCACGUGAAAUUGUUGAAAGGGAAGCGCUUGUGACCAGACUUGCGCCGGGCGGAUCAUCCGGUGUUCUCACCGGUGCACUCCGCCCGGCUCAGGCCAGCAUCGGUUCUCGUGGGGGGACAAAGGUUCCGGGAACGUAGCUCCUCCGGGAGUGUUAUAGCCCGGGGCGUAAUGCCCUCGCGGGGACCGAGGACCGCGCUUCGGCAAGGAUGCUGGCGUA